rnacentral:rRNA from 1 species
GCAGGCUGCAACUCGCCUGCAUGAAGCUGGAAUUGCUAGUAAUCGCGGAUCAGCAAGCCGCGGUGAAUACGUUCCCGGGCCUUGUACACACCGCCCGUCACACCAUGAGAGUCGGGAACACCCGAAGUCCGUAGUCUAACCGCAAGGGGGGCGCGGCCGAAGGUGGGUCCGGUAAUUGGGGUGAAGUCGUAACAAGGUAAC